UACGUAGGCAGCAAGCGUUGUUCGGAGUUACUGGGCGUAAAGAGUGCGUAGGCGGUCCUGUAAGUUUGGUGUGAAAUCUCCCGGCUCAACUGGGAGGGUGCGCCGAAGACUGCAGGGCUUGAGUAUGGGAGAGGUAAGCGGAAUUCCUGGUGUAGCGGUGAAAUGCGUAGAUAUCAGGAGGAACACCAGUGGCGAAGGCGGCUGCCUGGGCCUGGCCUGACGCUGAGGCGCGAAAGCGUGGGGAGCAAUCCGG
rnacentral:rRNA from 1 species